rnacentral:rRNA from 1 species
UACGGGGGGGGCAAGCGUUGUUCGGAAUUACUGGGCGUAAAGGGCCAGUAGGCGGCCAACUAAGUCGGAUGUGAAAUCCCCAGGCUCAACCUGGGAACUGCAUCCGAUACUGGAUGGCUUGAGUGUGGGAGAGGGAUGCGGAAUUCCAGGUGUAGGCGGUGAAAUGCGUAGAUAUCUGGAGGAACACCGGUGGCGAAGGCGGCAUCCUGGGACCAUUACUGACACUGAAAAGCGAAAGCCAGGGGAGCAAACGGG